AGUCAUAUGCUUGUCUCAAAGACUAAGCCAUGCAUGUCUAAGUAUAAAUGUUAUACAGUGAAACUGCGAAUGGCUCAUUAAAACAGUUAUAGUUUAUUUGAUAAUCGAAUUUACAUGGAUAACCGUGGUAAUUCUAGAGCUAAUACAUGCUGGUUAGCCUGACUUCGAGGAAGGGCUGUAUUUAUUAGAUAACAAACCAAUAUUCUUCGUGUCUAUUGUGAUGACUCAUAAUAACUGAUCGAAUCGCAUGGUCCUUGACCGCGAUAAAUCAUUCAAGUUUCUGCCCCAUCAGCUUUCGAUGGUAGUGUAUUGGACUACCAUGGCUUUUACGGGUAACGGAGGAUUAGGGUUCGAUUCCGGAGAGGGAGCCUGAGAAACGGCUACCACAUCUAAGGAAGGCAGCAGGCGCGUAAAUUACCCAAUCCUAAUUCAGGGAGGUAGUGACAAGAAAUAACGGGUCGGGGCUAUGCCCCGGGACUGCAAUGAGAUGAAUUUACACCCCUUUUCGAGUAACAAU
rnacentral:rRNA from 1 species